GGGGAUGUAUUUGGUUUCGACAGGAAUACGGAUGUAUCAAGAAGCGAGUCGUAGUUCGCGAAACUACGUUAAAAAAGAGCAACUAAAUUUAAACGCAGAAGAAAAUAAUAAUUUUGCAUUUGCUGCUUAGUUAAAAGCGGCGCGUCUCGAAUCCUAUCUCUCGUGUGGAGGCUGAGACCUUAACAACUUACGAGCUGAUUUAUUUGGUGAUGCUUUUAGCCAUAUAAAUUAACAAAAGCUACUUCGGACGGAGUUUGAUGUUUUAGAAAUUUGAAGGAAACUUUAAAAACAUCUGCACUCGGAGAUGCUUGAUGCAUAGUUUUUUUGGACAGGAGUUCGACUCUCCUCAUCUCCACCA
rfam:Clostridiales bacterium S7-1-4 contig34, whole genome shotgun sequence.